rnacentral:lncRNA from 1 species
AUCAGCUUGGUUAUCAGUGAUGAUACCUCUUCUGUAGUCAUUUCAAAAAUGGCUGAGUAGUAGGCCUAGGCAAUGGAUAUCUAUAUGUUAUCCAUAGAAGCAACCUUGAGAAUAACGACGUCACCAUUAGACAUGAUUCUCAAUCAUGUGGUUCAGUCUCUCAUAUGAGUUCAGAGCUUGAUGAGACCUUGAUUCCCUGGCUUGAGCUAUCGCCCCAUUAGUGUCGUAGUGUCGAUACAAUAGAGACACUUUCUGGUUGGAACCGAAUAGAGAGUUCAUAAAUGAACUUUCCCAUCCAAACAACAUUGUUGUAAGCUUUUAUAUGGCAAUAUAUUUGCAUUCAUAAUGGAACACACUAAAGUCAUUACUUUUAAUGUUUCCAUCCAAAUAUCUCUUUAGUCAUAAUAAAGAGAUAUAUGUUUAUCUCUUCAUUCAUAAUGAAGAAACAUCCAAUGAUGGAUUAGAUUCAUAAUCUAAUACAUUUACGCUUCCAUUACGUUACUCUAAUUCUUCCUCAUUCUUUGAGGAAUCUAUCCUUUAGUAUUUCUUAAAUACUUAAGGACUCACUUGACAGUUGCCGUGGUUCUGAUCCUGGGCUUGCACUGAUAUCGUCUUGUACCUUUCUAGGUACAACUCAUAUCAAUGUUUUUCAUACAAUAUGAAAUACAUAAAUCACCUCUCUGCGUAUGCAUAAAGGAUUCUAUUUACGCAUUAUUUCUUUGGGAGUCAAAGAGUACGUUCUCUUUGAGAAGAGCAACUUCUUAGUCUCAUUAGAGUUGUCCUUCUAAUUGAAGUUUAUCAUCAUAUGAGAAACUUCCUAGCAUCUAUUGUCUAUU